AUUGAACGCUGGCGGCGUGCUUAACACAUGCAAGUCGAUCGGUAAUGCGGGGGCAACCCUGGCGACGAGAGGCGGACGGGUGAGGAACGCUUGGGAAUCUGCCUAUCAGCGGGGGACAACACGGGGAAACUCGUGCUAAUACCGCAUACGCUCUACGGAGGAAAGCCGGGGACCGCAAGGCCUGGCACUGAUAGAUGAGCCCAAGCCGGAUUAGCUAGUUGGCGGGGUAACGGCCCACCAAGGCGACGAUCCGUAGCUGGUCUGAGAGGACGAUCAGCCACACUGGGACUGAGACACGGCCCAGAUUCCUACGGGAGGCAGCAGUGGGGAAUAUUGGACAAUGGGGGAAACCCUGAUCCAGCGACGCCGCGUGGGUGAAGAAGGCCUGCGGGUUGUAAGCCCUUUCGGUAGGGACGAAAGCUCUCGACCUAACACGUCGGGAGGUUGACUUAACCUACAAAAGAAGCACCGGCUAACUCUGUGCCAGCAGCCGCGGUAAGAC
rnacentral:rRNA from 1 species